UUGUUCAUAAAAAACUUUUCAUCCAUUUUUGAUUCAACCCAUCAAGUCAAGGAGUUUGCUCCGAUAGAAUUACUGUUGGACAUGCCAGAAACAAUGAUUCUGUGUGUGUGUGAGCACUAUAACUGUGCUUCUGUGUUUAUAACACGUGGGAUGAGAUUAGACAUGCUUUGAUGUGAAUGUUAUGCUGUUAAAAAUGCCAUGUUAACCAAACUAACUCAUUCACUCACUUUCAUUUCCUUGAUGUUUUUUCUGCUUACUUUGUUAGUGUGUGAAUUACAGAUGUGUCAUGAUUCAGAAUCCAUAUUGGUAACAGUAACUGGAUGUUACCAACUCCAGAUGGUGACAGUAACUCUGUUUCAGACUCUAGAUGGUGACAGUAACUGGAUGUUAAGAACUCCAGAUGGUGACAGUAACUCUGUUUCAGACUCUAGAUGGUGACAGUAACUCUGUUUCAGACUCUAGAUGGUGACAGUAACUGGAUGUUAAGAACUCCAGAUGGUGACAGUAACUCUGUUUCAGACUCUAGAUGGUGACAGUAACUCUGUUUCAGACUCUAGAUGGUGACAGUAACUGGAUGUUAAUAACUCCAGAUGGUGACAGUAACUCUGUUUAAGACUCUAGAUGGUGACAG